rnacentral:rRNA from 1 species
UACGGAGGGUGCAAGCGCUAUCCGGAUUCACUGGGUUUAAAGGGUGCGUAGGAGGGCAGGUAAGUCAGUGGUGAAAUCUCCAAGCUUAACUUGGAAACUGCCGUUGAUACUAUCUGUCUUGAAUAUUGUGGAGGUGAGCGGAAUAUGUCAUGUAGCGGUGAAAUGCUUAGAUAUGACAUAGAACACCAAUUGCGAAGGCAGCUCGCUACACAUAUAUUGACUCUGAGGCACGAAAGCGUGGGGAUCAAACAGG